GUGGCAGCCGCCGCGGUAAUACGGGGGUGCUAGCGUUGUUCGGAAUUACUGGGCGUAAAGCGUAUGUAGGCGGUUUGUUAAGCGGAAUGUGAAAUCCUCAGGCUCAACCUGAGAACUGCAUUCGGAACUGGCAGACUUGAGUACGGAAGAGGGAGACAGAAUUCCAGGUGGAGGGGUGAAAUCCGUAGGGAUCUGGAAGAAUACCAGUGGCGAAGGCGGUCUCCUGGUACGUUACUGACGCUGAGAUACGAAAGCGUGGGGAGCAAACAGGAUUAGAUACCCUGGUAGUCCACGCCCUAAACGAUGGAUACUGGAUAUUGGAAAGAUCUCUUUUCAGUAUCGAAGCUAACGCGUUAAGUAUCCCGCCUGGGGAGUACGAUCGCAAGAUUAAAACUUAAAGGAAUUGACGG
rnacentral:rRNA from 1 species